UCAAUAGGCCCAACCGUUGCGGAGAUAUAGCCUCACGUUCACGUUUGCGUGCUUUUCGAAGAAUUCGUUCAUGAGCUAUUCGGAAACGGUUUGAGAAAUCAACUUGAAUUCCAUAACUUUUUGCCAGCAUGGUCUGAAGAUUAUCUGAUUCAAUUUUCGUGACAAUCGGUGCAACGGCCUAGGACGAGUUAGAAAAAGUAGGUUUUACGAACAAUUGACGAUAGCGAAAAAACUAAGCCUUGCGAUUUUUGAAUUUCGGUGUCCAUUCGACUCGGCAUGAGCCAAGGAAUCACAGGAAAAAAGAAUUUUCAUUUUGUGGCUUACGGUUCAAGAGUUAUUAGCAUCAAGUUUUUGAAAGUUUAGACAAUUGGUGGCGCUAGAGAGUUUGAGUUAGAGACUUCAAAUUUGCUACGGUUAAUGUUCAGACAGUCCUCUAUUAGUGUGCCAAAUUAUACAACUUUCCCGCAAUCGGUUCUAUGGGCUACCAUAGACUUGGGGUGGAAGAAGAAUAAUAAUAAUAAAUAUAGCUGCAAGCAGCAAUCACGGGGCCAAGCAUUCCAGCGGCAACAUCAGGAGCUAAGCAUAUGUAGCAUCAGACCAAAUGCAACAAUGAAUAAUGAAAUUAAUAAUUGCAUGAUUGUAAUUGAAAUGGCUGAAAAUCGUUAAUAAAAGUUCCACAGCGAGGAGCUAAGCAUGGCAUGGAGCAUCAGACCAAAUGCAACGAGUAAGAAAAGCAAUUAUUGGAAGAGUGUAAUUGAAACAGCCAGUAAAACUCCAGUAAAAUGAUGCAUUAUCCUUUUUGGAAAAUAGUUGGCGCUGUAAUCAAAUUGCUUUGUUGUGUUCUGUGGGAGGUGACAAUGUUGUGGGCAAUUUCUUUCAAAAUACUUACAGACCUUUAGGGCAAUGAGUCGAACAUGCCCACCGAGUUUCGUUCCGAUCGACUUCCAUUAACCUUGUCAAAUAGGUGCUUAAAGUUGUUUGGCCAAUGGCGGCCAUGUUUUGUAAGAUAAGUGAAAUUCCUCAUAGAGCACUUGUGCCACAUUGGGCCAUAUCAAUUUUCAAGUUGAUUGGAUCAACGGUUGCUUAGUUAUAGCCAUUUGAUUUUUUUUCAUCCUGUAGCGCCACCAAGUGGCAGAUAUGGAAAAAAAAUAAUAAUUUGACUAAAGUUUUUGUUCAUGCAUAUGAGUUCUGAGUUUGGUGAAGAUAUCUCAUUUUGUUCCCGAGUUAUAGCCUUUUUCGUAAAAUUGGUCCACGAAUUUGAAUGUUUUGGGUCACCUGGUUUUUUGUUCAGUCUUGAUCAAACCACUGCAAUAAUAUUCUCUGGACUCUCUAGAUCAAUAAUUUUCAAAAAUAUGUUGCAUUUUGUCCUUUGGUUAGCUAUAAGAGGUCAUUUAGGAAAGGGCCGUGGCCACAUGUAACCUAAAGCCUAUAAAACUGAAACAAAAACUCAAAACUUUAUGAAACUUGGUUAUAACAUGUGAAAGAUGACCCACCAAGCAUGCAAAUUUUCAUUAAGAUCAGAAAAUAGCUGGUGCUAUAACAGUUAAAAUGGCCUAAAAAACAAAAGAUUUCUGUUGUGAAUGGCAUUAAACUGCAAAAAAAAAAGGGGUAAUAUAAUCACACAUGCAUUAGAUCUGUAUUUUUUCUAAACAAUCAUGCAAAAUUUAACAGAGAUUAGGUAAAAAAGAACACUGUAAUAUUUAUAAAGCUUCAAAACCCAGUGUUGAAUAAAAAAUUGCAAUUAUAACCACUAGAUGUCACCGGAAGACCACUAAUGAGCUCACUAAAGACUAAAACAUUACAGUUUAUGGGCUUGUUGAGGGAUUCAUCUAGAAAAAAUGUAUAUUACUAUUAUUUAAUAUUACUGUUCAAGCAUUUCAGAUCACAUUGAGUCAAAGUUUACCAAUUUAUU